UCGCAGGAGUAGACUAGGCAGGUAGAGAACAGACAGGCAGGGGGCGUGGCCUAAUCACGGACCCCCCCCCCUGGCCACGCCCCUUAAACAACAAAAAAUCCUUACCAUGCAGCCUGCCCUGAAGGCACCAUCAGCCGUCCAGGCAAAGAGAACAGAGGACCAGACUAAAACACCCCUGGCUGGGGAUCAGCAAUUAGGUGCAGGGGAAGUGUUAGACUCAGGCCCCAGAGACGAAGGGACAGCACAGUGGUGAGACUACGGCUGUCUGAGACAGGCUGUCAGUGUGACUGGCAGUGCUGUACCGCUGCACAGCUCCUCGGGGUUGGCGGCAGCAGGGACGGGCUGGUGCAGCGUUAUGCGUAGUGACGCUGCAAUGCAGGCAACACAGGACCAGAUCAUACCAAGUGACGGGCAGCAUGGCCAUGGACGCGCCUCCAGGCGCCGGCGCGUCACUUCCGCUGAGACGCCGGAGACGACGGGCUGGACGCCGGGACGGCGCGGCCAGCGGCACACACUGGAGGGGAUGUUGCUAUGGGGGAAGCACCAGACAGUCUUGGGAAUACUGGAGUCGAAACAGCAGCCUCUAGCCAGACAGUCCUUGGAGCCGAUGUUGGGAUAUCCGCAGUCUUUCCUCAGCUUGGGCCUCACAGAGCAUCCUGCACACAACAGGAAACACAGCAAUGUCAUCAGAGGGUACAGCACUACACACACACAGAUGGUCACAGAGGGUCAGACACUCCCUGCCCAAUGACACUGACCUCCCCCCCGUGCUGUACCACUUCUAGCCAAAGGACCAACAGUGACAAUUUGUUACCCCGUGUCUCUGGCGCUGAACAAGUACUGUAAGUUCUGCAGAGCAGAGUAAAAGAAUUCUACAAAAAAGUU